ACUAGUAUAGUUUUUAGAAUGUUAUUUUGAAAGGAUAGAGGUAGCAUAGUUUAUAUUAUGUUUAUUAGUA
rnacentral:tRNA from 1 species